rnacentral:rRNA from 1 species
CAGUAGCCACGGGAAUACGAAGGGGGCUAGCGUUGCUCGGAAUUACUGGGCGUAAAGGGAGCGUAGGCGGAUGAAUUAGUCAGGGGUGAAAUCCCGGGGCUCAACCUCGGAACUGCCUUUGAUACUGUUCAUCUUGAGUAUGGGAGAGGUGUGUGGAACACCGAGUGUAGAGGUGAAAUUCGUAGAUAUUCGGAAGAACACCAGUGGCGAAGGCGACACACUGGCCCAUUACUGACGCUGAGGCUCGAAAGCGCGGGGAGCAAACAGGAUUAGAUACCCCUGUAGUCCCUGUCUCUUAUAC